GCUCACGGCAACUGCAGACCCGAGCACAAAAUGCCCUCACCUGGAGCUUCCCACUGCUAAGAACGGAAACACCCAAAUCCAGGCUGGCCCUUUUCAAAACAUUUCUUUUUCAAAAGCUGCAAGCCUAAAGUAUUGUUAGCCACUUUUAGCCAUCAAUGUAUCCUCUCUGGAGAUGUCAUGGUGUGAGGACCCCUCCUUUAAGAGCUCAAGAUAGACCCUGCCUAGGAAAAGCCUAGGAUUCUUAUGCAGAGACUCAUCAACUAGGAUUCUUCAGUGUCAACCAUUGGAACUACUCAGUCCAGGAAACACGGAGCAAACGG